GACGAACGCUGGCGGCGUGCCUAACACAUGCAAGUCGAACGGGGUGAUUUCCUUCGGGAGAUCACUUAGUGGCGAACGGGUGAGUAACGCGUGAGAAACCUGCCUUUCAGUGGGGACAACAGUUGGAAACGACUGCUAAUACCGCAUAAUGUAUUUAGGGGGCAUCCCUUGAAUACCAAAGCUUUAUGUGCUGAAAGAUGGUCUCGCGUCUGAUUAGCUAGAUGGCGGGGUAACGGCCCACCAUGGCGACGAUCAGUAGCCGGUCUGAGAGGAUGAACGGCCACAUUGGGACUGAGAUACGGCCCAG
rnacentral:rRNA from 1 species